CUGAAUUGAUAGUACCGAGCACUGUUGAGGAUUGAGUCGAAACCAACUGUAAAGAAGUAUGACGAUUGGACUCUCUACAAUCCAGAUCAGACGGAGGGUGCAUGAAGGAUCAGAGAUCACAUUGAUGGAGUAGAGAUUGUGGGCCAUCCAUAAAGCAAUUGCUAAACCAAGUCCACAGAUCAUAUGGAUCGAAAAUACUUGCAGAGCUGAUAAUGACUGGGAGGAAUUCUCUGCGUUGGAAGCUUUUGCAAUACUGCUUUUCUUCUGCUUCUUCUCUUUUUCCUUCAUCUCUGCCACCGUGAGUUGGUUCAGUACCGUGA
rnacentral:misc_RNA from 1 species